rnacentral:rRNA from 1 species
CCCUAUGGGGUGCAGCAGGCGCGAAAACUUCACACUGCAGGAAACUGUGAUGAGGGAACUCCAAGUGGAUGCACAUAGUGUAUCUCUUUUCUCUACUAUUAAUCGGUAUUGGAAUAAGGGCUGGGAAAGACCGGUGCCAGCCGCCGCGGUAAUACCGGCAGCUCGAGUGGUCGUCGCUUUUAUUGGGCCUAAAACGUCCGUAGCCGGUUUGGUAAAUCUGUGGGUAAAUCAGCUAGCUUAACUAGUUGAAUUCUGCAGAGACUGCCAGACUAGGAACCGGGAGAGGUGUGGGGUACUCAAGGGGUAGGGGUAAAAUCCUGUCAUCCUUUGAGGACCACCAGUUGCGAAGGCGCCACACUGGAACGGAUUCGACGGUCAGGGACGAAGCCUAGGGGCACGAACCGGAUUAGAUACCCGGGUAGUCCUAGGUGUAAACGCUGUGAACUUGGUGUCGGGAGUCCGCAAUGGGCCCCCGGUGCCGGAGUGAAGAUGUUAAGUUCACUGCCUGGGGAGUACGGUCGCAAGGCUGAGACUUAAAGGAAUUGGCGGGGGAGCACUGCAACGCGAGGAGCGUGCGGUUUAAUUGGAUUCAACGCCGGAAAACUCACCAUGGCCGACUGUUAGAUGAAGACCAGCGUAAUGAGCUUGUCGGAUUUUCAGAGAGGUGGUGCAUGGCCA